AAUCAACGCUGGCGGCGUGCCUCAGACAUGCAAGUCGAACGAUUAAACUCGCCUUCGGGUGAGAUAUAAAGUGGCGCACGGGUGAGUAACACGUAGGUAAUGUGCCUUUGGGUGGGGAAUAACAGUCGGAAACGACUGCUAAUACCGCAUAAUGCAGCGGCUCCUUCGGGAGACAGUUGUUAAAGAUUUAUCGCCUAAAGAGCAGCCUGCGGCAGAUUAGCUAGNGGUAAGGUAACGGCUUACCAAGGCAACGAUCUGUAUCCGACCUGAGAGGGGUGGUCGGACACACUGACACUGAAUAACGGGUCAGACUCCUACGGGAGGCAGCAGUCGGGAAUUUUGGGCAAUGGGCGCAAGCCUGACCCAGCAACGCCGCGUGAAGGAUG
rnacentral:rRNA from 1 species